UUCAAUUAGGCAUGCUCACUCUCUGUCACCCAGGCUGGAGUGCAGUGGUGCAAGAUCAUAACUCAUUGCAGCCUCGAACUCCUGGACUCAGGCAAUCCUCCUGCCUCAGCUUCCUGUGUGCAUGAGUCUUCAAUCACCUGCCCAGAAGAGACAUGUAUCACUUCCGCUCACAUUGCAUUGACUAAAGUAAGUCACAUGACCACACCUAAGUUCCAGGUGGUGAG
rnacentral:lncRNA from 1 species